rnacentral:tRNA from 1 species
GCCGUUAUGGUCCAGUGGUAAGACAACUGCGUGCCAUGCAGUAGACCCGAGUUCGAUUCUCGGUAACGGCU